GUGUUCAGCACAUAUACUAAAAUUGGAACGAUACAGAGAAGAUUAGCAUGGCCCUAACUACAAGUGUGAUAUGCAGACUAAUAUAGCAUCCAUUAUU
rnacentral:snRNA from 1 species